CCUACGGGGGGCAGCAGUGAGGAAUCUUGGUCAAUUGGCGCGAGCCUGACCCAGCAAAGUAGCGUGAAGUAUGACUGCCCUACGGGUUGUAAACUUCUUUUAUAAAGGAAUACAGUGAGGCACGUGUGCCUUUUUGUCUGUACUUUAUGAUUAAGGAUCGGCUAACUCCGUGUCAGCAGCCGCGGUAAUACGGAGGAUCCGAGCGUUAUCCGGAUUUAUUGGGGUUAAAGGGAGCGUAGAUGGGUUGUUAAGUCAGUUGUGAAAGUUUGCGGCUCAACCGUAAAAAUGCAAUUGAUACUGGCUGCCUUGAGUACAGUUGAGGUAGGCGGAAUUCGUGGUGUAGCGGUGAAAUGCUUAGAUAUCACGAAGAACUCCGAUUGCGAAGGCAGCUUACUAAACUGCCACUGACAUUGAUGCUCGAAAGUGUGGGUAUCAAACAGGAUUAGAUACCCUUGUAGUC
rnacentral:rRNA from 1 species